rnacentral:rRNA from 1 species
AUGUACGCCGCCCUCAGCACGGCGCAAUGGGUUGUGGGCAAGGCGCUGGCCCCCGUUGCAGAUGGCGUGCUGGGGGCUUGGGCAGCCGCCAGGAACUUUGGUCCUAACGUCGAGGCCCUCAGCAUGGAACUGCUGCUCGUGAAGGCCACACUCGAGCAAGCUGCCCUCAAGGAGCUUGGUGGGCCCGCCAUGGAGACGCUGCUGCAGAAGCUGCAGGAUUUGGCGCACAAUGCUGAAGACUUACUGGACGAGCUGGACUACUUCCGCAUCCACGACAAGCUCCACAACACGGACGAUGCUGCCGACCAGCACGGCAAGGGUGGCGUCCACGACCUCGCCUUCAAUGCUCGCCACACCGCCAAAGCUGUUGGCAAAAUGGUCAGCUGUUGCCCUUGGCAGCAUGCUAAGCGCCAACAGAGGUCAUGCGGCAGCUCCUCAUUGUCGCCAGGCGCUAAAAGUGAGGUCAGCGGAUGCCUGCCCAAGCUGAGUAAACUCCUCCCUUCUUCAUCUUCCCCACGUCCACCUUUUGGUGAUGACGAUCGUGACAAUGCACAAGAUACCCCAGAGCUCGAGUUUAAUAGGGUUGAUUUCUCUCAAAAGAUGAAGGCCGUCACAGAAAAAUUGCAGCUUAUGCGCAAUGAGGUUAACAAGAUUCUACAGGGUUGUGGCCCUAGAAUUGUCCUAGACAUUGCCCAGAGUCGUCCCAUCACCCGAGCUAAGAGUACAGAGCCAAAGCUGUAUGGGAGAGACCAUGUCAUGAAUAGCAUCAUACAUGAUAUCACCAAGGGUCAAUAUUGUGACAAGGGUCUAACCGUGCUUCCAGUUGUUGGUCCCGGGGGAAUGGGAAAGACAACUCUCAUACAAUACAUAUAUAACAACCAACAAGUGCAGAAUCAUUUUUCAGUCAAGAUUUGGAUAUGUGUGUCAUUCAAUUUCAAUCUGGAUAAGGUGCUAGAAGAGAUUAAAAGAUAUACCCCUGCAGUUGAAAGUGAAAAAAAGUGUAGCACAACUGAAGAGCUGAUUGAACAAAGAUUAAAAUGUAAAAGGUUCUUACUUGUAUUGGAUGAUAUAUGGCAGAUUAGUAACGGGGAUGACUGGAAAAAACUAUUGUUGACACUCGGUCAAUCGCAAGAAAAGGGUUCCAUGAUUCUAGUCACAACUCGGCUUAAAAACAUAGCAGAGCAAGUUAAAACAACUGACUGUCCAAAAGAAUUGAAUGGUUUAGAGCACGAAGAGUUUAACAAGUUAUUUCUUGCAUUUGUCUUUGAUGAUGGGCAAUAUCCAAGGGACAAACAAUUUCUUCUCGAGACCGGAGAUAAGAUAAUGGAAAAACUAAAGGGCUCCCCUCUUGCAGCAAAGACUGUUGGUAGAUUACUGAGUAAAGAACAUAGUUUGUAUCAUUGGAAAAGGGUCCUCAAAAGUAAAGAAUGGGAAAAGCAAACCGAUGGAAUUAUGUCUGCCUUGAGGCUUAGCUAUGACUUUCUCCCUUUCCAUCUGCAGCAAUGUUUUUCCUAUUCUGCAUUAAUUCCUGAAGAUAUGUAUAUGAAUAGCUAUGAUCUCAUCAGCCUGUGGAUUGGACUAGAUAUUUUGAUACCUAGUGAUCAAAAUCAAACAUUUGAAGAUAUAGGUUUGAGCAAUUUAAAUGAGUUAGUCAAUUAUGGAUUUUUCAGGGAAGAGGAAACUGAUGGUGAUCAGCGGUAUGUUAUGCAUGACCUAUUACAUGAUUUGGCAGUGAAGGUUGCAUCGCAUGAUUGUCUUUGUUUACGUCUCCCUAAUGUUGGAUCAGUGGAAAUUCAGCCAACCACCCAACACUUGUCUAUAAGCACACAUGACUUAGGAAAAUAUGAUGCAGUGUCAGGUGAAAAAUUAAGAAGUGAAUUGGAAGAACUGAAGACAAAAUUGAAUGUUGAACAUUUGCACACAUUGAUGGUAUUUGGUAAAAUGGAUGGAAGUUUUGCCAAGAUCUUUGGUGAUUUUCUUUGGGAAGCAAAUACUCUUCACGUUCUUUAUUUGCUUGACAUGACGUAUCCCAUGGAGUCCAUGAUACAUAACUUUUCAAGACUUGUCCACCUACGAUGCCUAUGUCUAGGGACAUGUGACAGAGAGAUGCAUUUACCACUCAACAUCUCUAAAUUUUACCAUUUAAGGGUUCUAGAUCUUGAGCAAUGGUGUGGGAGUUCUGAUUUGCCCAGAGACAUGAGCAAUCUUGCAAAACUGUGCCAUAUUCAUGCCAGAAGUGAGCUUCAUUCAGAUAUUUAUAAUGUGGGAAAACUUAAACUCUUAGAAGAGUUGAAGGUAUUUCGAGUCAAUAAAAAAAGUGAAGGAUUUGAACCAAAGCAACUAGAGCAUUUAAGCAAGCUCAGGGAGCUUGUCAUCUAUAACCUGGAGAGAAUUCAUACAAAAGAAGAAGCAGCUCAAGCAAAAUUGAUGGAGAAAAGAUACUUGAGGAGGUUAACAUUGGACUGGGACAGUAAUCGAUCUAGUCUUGAGCCUGGUGUGGAAGCAGCGGUUCUUGAGAGCCUUCAACCUCAUGGAGAUCUUCAAGUGUUGUGCAUUAGAGGGCAUGGAGGUCCUUCUUGUCCAACAUGGCUGGGUGAUGAGUUCGCUGUUGAAGCUCUACAAUCUCUUUUUCUGGAUGAUGUUUCUUGGGAAGUUUUCCCUUCUUUAGGGAAGGCGUGGGAUCUUCGUGAAUUAUGUUUUGAGGAUAUUGACAGACUGAAGGAGUUUAUCAUAGUGAAAAGCUUUUGCAUGCUAACAAAGCUUAUACUCAUUGGCCUUGGAAGUUUUGAAAAAUGGGUUUACACAGGUGGAGACUUGUUGCCACCGGAUGCUCAUAUGUUCCCUCUUUUGCAAGUUCUGGUCAUUAGGAAGUGCCCAAAACUGUUGGGGUUGCCUUUCUCAAACCACAUUGUUUCCCCAGAUUGGUUCCCUAAGCUACAAGAGCUUGAGGUAAGCGACUGCCCCGAAUUCUUGCCAGUGAUUCACAUCUCCCGGAUCGAAAGGCUGCAUUCUGUCACGAUGAAAUGUGUAAAGAUGCUAAAGGAGUUUGCAUACUCGAAAUCAUCCGGUGGAGCAGAGUUGAAAAUUACCGGAGAGAGUGAUCUUCUUAGCUUAGACCAAGUGCUGGUUUUUGAUAAAGAAACAGUUACAGAGAAGCUGACACUCGAGAGGUGCCCACCUCUGGGGUUGAAGCACCUUCUGAUGCUAACCUCGCUGAGGACAUUGAUUGUACAAGAUUCAGUUGGUCUAGUUGGACCACCAGGAGGAGGUCAGAGUGAUGUGGAAUGGCAACUCCCUGUUGAGUAUAUCAAGAUCAACGACUUAAAUGGUAAUAGUGGGAAGGAAUUGACAGAGCUCCUCCCCCACCUCCCAAAGCUCUCCAAUUUGGAGAUAUCGAAUUGUAAACACAUAAAAAAGCUGGUAGUGGGGGUGGAUGUGCAACAAACAACAUCAGAAGCAUCAGAGAUGGGGGGAGGUGAAAUAACAGCAGCAGCAGCAGCAGAGGAACACGAUGAUGGGGUGCUGCUCUUCCCAGCUCAUCUGUGUGACUCACUACAGGAAUUGGACUUCAGUAGCUGCUCAGAGCUGGUCCUGGUGGACCCGCCAACUCUUGUUCCUGGUGGAGGAGGAUGGCUCCAAGCCUUGCGAUCCCUCAAAAGAUUAACAAUACGGUGGUCCCCAAAGUUUCUAUCCACCUUCUCGUUUUCCCAUCACCUUUUACCUUCCUCCCUGCAGUUCCUGAAACUCUCGGAUGUGAAAGGCAUGGGGACACUGGAGCCCCUCUCAAACCUCUCCUCUCUCACCACAUUACAAUUGCUUAGUUGUGGAGAGGAUCUGAAAUGUCAGGGCUUGCAGUCUCUCCUUACUACUGGGGGCCAGCUCAAUGAAUUAAAAGUCGCUGGCAGCCCUAGAUUCUUUGCUGAUUGGGAUCCUAAUUCUGGACGGGCUUUGAAGGAUGCUGAGGGAGGUGAAGAGCAGCAGACACAGCAUGUUUCAUCCACACUGCAUGAGCUCUGGACAGAUGACAUAGCAGGACUUCUUGCUGCACCCAUCUGCAGAUUCCUCUCUUCCUCCCUCACCAAGCUGCAACUUCGGGGGGAUUGGUGUGAAGGGAUGGAGCGGUUCAUCAAGGAGCAGGAGGACGCCCUUCAACUCUUCUCCUCCCUCCAGAAACUAGUGUUUUGGAAUUUCAAGGACCUUCAACAACUCCCUGCAGGGCUGCGUAACCUUACCAGCCUCAAGAUAUUAUCAGUCAACCUCUGUCCAGCCAUCUUGUCCUUGCCCAACGAUGGCCUCCCGGAUUCGCUGGAAAUGCUAGAUGUCUACAAAUGCAGCGAGGAGCUAAAACAGCAGUGCAGGGGGUUGGAGGGAACCAUCCCAAGAGUCCAUAUACUCUGA